rnacentral:rRNA from 1 species
CCUACGUGCGGCAGCAGUCGAGAAAUAUUCACAAUGGGGGAAACCCUGAUGGUGCGACGCCGCGUGGGGGAAUGAAGGUCUUCGGAUUGUAAACCCCUGUCAUGUGGAGCAAAUUAAAAAGAUAGUACCACAAGAGGAAGAGACGGCUAACUCUGUGCCAGCAGCCGCGGUAAUAAAGAGGUCUCAAGCGUGGUUCGGAAUCACUGGGCGUAAAGCGUGCGUAGGCUGUUUCGUAAGUCGUGUGUGAAAGGCGCGGGCUCAACCCGCGGACGGCACAUGAUACUGCGAGACUAGAGUAAUGGAGGGGGAACCGGAAUUCUCGGUGUAGCAGUGAAAUGCGUAGAUAUCGAGAGGAACACUCGUGGCGAAGGCGGGUUCCUGGACAUUAACUGACGCUGAGGCACGAAGGCCAGGGGAGCGAAAGGGAUUAGAUACCCCUGUAGUC